GCGUGACGUAGUCAAGCUUGUGUGUCUGUCACAGAGCGAAAGAGGCUUGCGUCGUAUUAAAUUCUCCUCUGAAGUUUAUCUGGCUGAUCUUCUAUCUGGACCUGAGAGAUGAAGAAGGCACAAUCGCUCCUUUUCCAAGCGUUGACCGUGCUUGGCAUUUGGGCUUCGCUUGGUGAGUUCACGUUUUUAUUUGACUUCAAGGUUCACUGCAAACGUUGUUGGGACUGGAUUUGUUUCUUCAGAUCAUUAGGGGAUCAAUAUAAAAGGGCAUUUUAUUGGCCCCACCUCGGGGAAAUGUAUACUUGUCAGAUUACUAGACAUAUUAAGCAAACUGUCAGUCUCAUUUGAAACAAUGGAAACAAUACAUAAUACAUCCGCGGUUUUGAGACACUUUCUGAUCCGACUGUGAACUUUUGAAAAAAGGGUGUAGUAAAGCCUAUUUAAAACUAACGACUGACUUUAAGCAUUGAUAUACCACUCAUUUAACUCACUGACCGCCACUGACUGAAAACCUGAAACAUUCACUUCGGUUUGCCUUGGAAGGCUGCAAAUGGAUUGGACGUCUAGCACCGUCAUUGGCACAGAAACGUGAGAAUCCAUAGCCAGUCCUCCCAGUUAAGAAUAAGCGCACUUCUGUUGUUGUCAGUAGUAAGCUAAACGAACCAAAAUUAUACAUUAAUACAAAUGUAUAUAUAUAACUAUUUUAAAACUAUUAAAAUUAUUAUGAAUUAAAAAAAAAUAACACUAAAUAUUACUAUUAAAUUGUAUAAUAAUAAUUUUAAUUUAAUAAUAAUAAAUUUAAUAAAUUCAUAAUAAUUUAUUUUUUAAUUUAAUUUUAUAGUAUUAUAUAAUACUAUAUUAUUAGUAGUAGUAGUAUUACUAAAUAUAAUAACACUAAAUAUAUAAUACUAAGUAUUGACUAAUGGCAGUUAAAUACUCUUGUAGUUUAGUUUUGGUUAGUUUUAGUUUUAUACUAAAGGGUCAUAGUAUUUACCUAUGAUAUAAAUAAAUAUCUACUUUUUUUAAUUCCAUUAUAAUCUUAAUGAUUUUUUAAUCAAUAAAUUAUCAAUAAACCCAAUAGAUUUGUAUUAAUGUAUAAUUGUAUUUUUUCAUAUAUAAAUAAAAUUAACAUUAAAAAAUAAAAAAUAAAUACAUAUAUGUUACAGUUCUACAUGGACUGAGGUUUUCAAUGCAACGCUUCACAUUCCAGGUGUUUUGUUUCACAUUGCGAGAUGGAUAAUUUUGUAUGUGGUGCUUGUGUGUGUGUUUUGUCAUAAUGUAUCAAACGUAGGAAGAGAAUGUCCAAAAGACAUGUGCUUCAACACAACAGAAAACUUAGCUCCAAAACCAUUGUCUGUGAUCUCAAUUGAUCUGGAUCAUGAAUACAUAUAGGUUGAGGUGCUGGAGGGGGAGGGAUAAUUGAACUUUUAAUGACCGAAGGGAAAACAAACAACAACAAAAAACCUGCAGUUGAACACAAUCUUGAUGACUUUUACAAUUGUUGUUACAAUAUGAUUAACACCCCCCACCAACACAAACCUAUAUAAAGACAAACCGAACACUUUAAAAUGCAACUUUUUUUCACCUCGACCUAUAACCUUACUCACCUUGUCUUCACUGAUGCAAAAGCAUCUAUUGCACUUUCAUAUGACAGUUGUUUUGGAAGGGCACUUCUUUCCUGGACUUGGUGGGCUUGGACUUGGUGCUGAUGUGGAUAAGUUCGCUGUAAAAUGACACAUUUCAAAGACAACCCUAUGCUGAGAGCUACAAACUCUUUUGUGAACAAGUGAUCCGUCAAAGGAUUAUCGUUGACAAAGAAGUGCUCAGAAUGGACAAGCCAAGAAGGUUGUUCGUGAACAUCGUGAAGAACCAUGAGGAUCUUGAUGCUUCAGACUACAGGCGGGAUAUGCUGAAAAGAAGAUUGAAGUACUUUAUCAUCAACAGACAAACUUUUAGACAGGAUACCUCAGUCAUCAGGUACAUCAGCUACCGACUCUACUGAGGUAAGACAAGAAAGUGACACUGAACAAAUGGCUAGCACACCAUCUGGUUGGAAAUCCACAGAACAAAGAAGGACACUUUACAGUGCAGGGCUGCUAUUGAGGACCAUUCUAAGCGAAUCACCCUCACUGAAAUGCCCAUGGCCUCCCACAGCAGAAGAUUUAAAUGUAUGUGAAGCGAAAGCUGUUGUGCCUGUUGAACAGUACAAUCGAUUGGUGCAACAGAAGAACCAACACUAGCCGGCAAAAGGGCAAACUACGAGGCAGCAGUAAUGCGACAUUGUCUGACUGGUAUGAUGUGUGCCCCUUCACCAAUUGGCAAUGGAUGGGACAUUGAGGAUGGUGAAUUAACAGUAAAAUGGAUGACUAGAAAUCCUGCCCCAGAUAGUGUGCUACAGGUAAUCCACUGUGGUUGCAAGAUAAGCAAGUGUGAGACUGAAAGAUGUUCAUGCUUGUCUGCAAAAAUGUCCUGUACAGAUUUAUGCCACUGCCAGGACUGUGAAAAUAUUUCAAAGGAAAUGGGAUGAUGACACUGAUGAUACUGAUAUUGAUGAGUAAUCACCCACCAUCUCUCCUAUGUUUAGUUUCAUUAUCAAAAUGUUACUCUCCAUUUUAACACCUUUAAAACAACAACAAAAAAGGCUCUUUUCCCUUUUCCAAAAAAAUAGACCUUUGUUCAAUUUGACUGCCAAAAAAGAUGGAUGUUCCAAUGAAGUGCUAUUGUUUUAUUGAGAGUGCACAUUUCAUAUAUGUGUGUGUAUAUAUAUAUAUGUGUGUGUGUAUAUAUAUAUAUGUGUGUGUAUAUAUAUAUAUAUAUGUGUGUGUAUAUAUAUAUAUAUAUAUGUGUGUGUAUAUAUAUAUAUAUGUGUGUGUGUGUAUAUAUAUAUAUGUGUGUAUAUAUAUAUAUAUGUGUGUAUAUAUAUAUAUGUGUGUGUAUAUAUAUAUAUAUAUGUGUAUAUAUAUGUGUAUAUAUAUAUAUAUAUGUGUAUAUAUAUAUAUGUAUAUAUAUAUAUACACACUGAUACACGGCCCAUGGGAAAACCCAUGGACAGUGUAUCAAAUACUUGUUCUCCCCACUCUAUACAUAUAUAUUCCUAGAUUUUGACAAAAUUGGUGCAGGGAAACGUUGGGUGAACUUUUAACCCAAAGUUCAGAAGGGUAUUAUCUUAUCAAAAAAUGCAUUGAACAAGUAGUGCCCAGACAGUGGAACGAAACCCAUUUUCUAGGCACUUUUUCAGGGUCCACCCCAAGGCCUAAUUCUAUUUAACACAAGACUUAUUUUUCAUCCCAUACAAUUUAUUUAGCAAUUGGGGGAAAUUACUUAGAUACAUACUGUAAAAAUAUUGGAGUAGAGAGAUAAAAACAAUGAUGACAUUUUGCUGCUGUCUGUUGCAUUUUCCGCGUUCUGAAUCUUCCCCAUUGGGCUGAUUUCUAAAUCAGCUGAAAUCGUUACUCUGCCGACGUCAUCACCUAGAUGGAGGCACUAGAGUGCUACAAUGAUAGGCGGGGCUAAACGGCAGAUUAAAAGAAACAUUUCUCUUCAUCUGCGCUUUGCCAAAUUGUUGUAUAUAGUCGAAUGAUCUCAAAAUAUGAUUUUAAUUCACAUAAUAAUGCUAUUUAAUUUCAUCGUGUCACAGGCGCUUUAAAAGUCAGUGAUUGCAGGACUGGUUUACUUUCAAAAAGUGCUUGAGCCGAGUUUUGAGGGUUUGUAUUGCGGGACACUCCCUGAUGGCCCUACUAUGACCCUAGUCAUGGGGGCGGGGGCAAAUCAAAUACUUAAAUAGUAUUUUUUUGAAUUAAGAAACAAAGCACAUGAAAAAAAAAUACAUAGUAAUGAAGUAAUAAAAUAGAAAUAAUUCUACAUGAAAUGAAAUUCAUUCUAAAAAAAAAAUCAAAACUUCAAAAUAUAAAUGAAAAAUUAUUGAAAUAAAUCAAGAUUAAAAAAAAUAAUAAUAAUAAUAACAUUAAUUCAAAUAAGUGUCCCAUGUGUGAAUUUUGCUGUGGGAAAGUUAUUCAUUUAAUUUUGUUUUGUUUGAUGAAUCUUGUGACCUCUCAUAUCUUAACUCUAUGGCUGCCUCUUACGGUAUUCAAUCCAUUUCAACUGAUUGUUCGAUCGCUUCCAGCCCCUCCCAGUUAAAAUGGAUUGGACGUCUAUCAAUAUCUUUUACUUAUUACCACAACAAAAAUUGUGACCUGGGCUGGCGGUGGUGAGGUAAACUAAUGAUAACUUUUGGAUAGAUGUCCACUGAUGUGACCACUGUAACCGAAAGGGUUAAACAUCAUCCUCAAAAAUAAAAAGUGCAAAUUACCACACAAAUGUUCCUUUUUGUGCUAUACACAAGUGUGGAUGCAACCCCGUUGGUUACAUAACUCUGUCGGAAUGGCUGACGGUUACCCAUUUGAUUAUUUCACCUUAUAACGCAUACUGUAGCUUGAUCUGAGGCUGAAAUGCAUCCCAACUCUUCUUUCUUGAUUUCUGUCCCAAUUUACAUCCAUUGUCCAGUUCACUGGCGCCUGUGGCACAGCUGUGAUGGUGUGUGAUGUAAUCCUACUUGGUUUAGUUAUUGUUGGGUAAAGAGACAUACUAUACAUUGUAUCCAAAAAAUUGUCCAUUGCUGCCAGUUUGCUUGGAUUUAAUAAAUCAAUAUUAAAAUCUCCACAGAUGAAGAAUGUUUUCUGCUUAAUAGUGGAAAACAAUUGGCUCAUCCAUUCAGUGAAGGAAUCAAUACAUGAACCCGGUGAUCGAUAGAUUCAACUGACAAUUAUAUUUUUCUUUUUUUCAUUGGAGAUCUCUAUUGUCAAACAUUCCAAGUGUUCUUGACAUAUCUAUUCAAUUCAAUUUUAUUUGUAUAGCCCUAAAUCACAACAAGGUUGUCUCAAAGGGCUUUGCAGAGGCAAUAUGAUACAAAAUCAGAAACAGCAAAUGAAGCAAUGAAGAUGAAUACAUACAUUUCAAGUCCUGGGCAUCCCCCAUCCUUAGACCCUCCAUGUCGGCAAGGAAAAACUCCAAAAACUCCAGAGUCUUUGGGAGAAAAUGAGAAACCUUGGGAAGUACCACACUGAGGAGAGAUCCACUCCCGGGACAGAUAGGCAGGGAGCACCAGUACUGCUAAUGGGAAUUAGCAGGCGAAGUUACAGUCCGUAAAGAUACAUUGGAGUAAAGGAACAAGAAGAGGUCCAUCUAGCCAGAUGAGACGGGGGUAGCAACGAGGACAUCCAUCCAGCCAGGGGUCCGGACAGUCAGGAGGCUGCAGCUGAAAAAGGGGUGGGGGGAAAGGGGAGACCGGGUGACGAGUGAUGAAGAGACUAGACAGAUAUUACCAUAUUACUAGAUAUUACCAUUGGAAAAUAGAAAUUAAGUAAGACAAGUGGUACUGUAGGUAGAGUGAGAAAAAGGAGAUAGAACUCAGUGGCUGUACUUCCCCCAGCAUUAUAGCUUCUAGUGCAGCUGUAUCUGUUAAUACCAUACAUUUAAUUGAUUUAUGAAUAUAUAGGGCAACUCCACCACCAGUUUUCUUUUCUCUAUGUAUUUUAAUUCGUAAUCAUCCAUAAGAAAAUCAAUACCUUUAUCAAUAUUAAACCACGUUUCUGUGAUCGCAAUUAUGCUGAAGGGGUGUGUAAAUUGGUGCAGAUAGUCUUUGGUAGAGCUGACAUUUUUGUACAUGCUUCUGCUGUUGAAAUGUAUAAUUGACAGUUUUGCCCAUUGAGUUGAUAUGAUUUUCAUACAGAUCUUGUGUAAAAAUAAUCGCAAUUGGUAACAGUAGAAGAAAAGAAAUGAUUGUCAGGAUCACUUUCUAUAUUAGGGACUCUUUUGUUGGACUCGUUGGAUUUAAAGGCCUCAAGUUCUAUUUGUUUGUUCUGAAGGGUUCGCAGAAGUGGAUCAAUGUCGCUCUUAUUCCUGAGUACAGUUCGUGUGUUUGAUGUAUCG